UGUGGUUUGAACUGGUGCGUAGGUCUGAAGCACGUGAGCUUGAAACUUGUGAAAAAGCAGUAAAACUACAAUUAUAAUGUUCAAUUAACAUUGAUUCCACAGUCGUACACGAAUAAUGGAAAAAGAAUUUCACAACUUUCCAUCGAAAUAUGGAUCAAUCUUCAACACAUUCCUGUGGACGGGCUGUGUCUGACAUAUCACGAGUAUUGACUACUGGCGGCUGGACGAUGGGUGCCUGAGGCUGUAAGACUGAGGAUACAAGGCAGGUUCUUUGAAAAAUUCAUUCUUCAAUAUCAAAGUAAAUUUCAUCAGAGGUGGGGAUGCUGAGGUGUUUAUGGGGUCAUACCGAAACGAGGACUCGAUUGAAUUCAUCGGCUCUCAUUGGAAUGUGGUAAAGGCCGGAAUGAAGGUCGGAUAAAGUCUUUCAACCGGUUAUCACUACCUCCAGCUGGACGUGUUUCCAGACCAAUGGAGACGGUGGUGGGGAGGCUUAUAUACAUAGGGCCUCCUCCCCUCUACCGUCACUCUCCUCGGGACCUCCGUUCGGGACGGACGGGAGUGGGGGGAAGGGGAAGUACACAGCAAAGGCCCAAAUCCCGGAACUCUACGAGGGGGGGUCGAGAAUCCAGGAAGCCCUGUGAACCCCGUUAGAAAAGGGGUACAGAAAAAAUUGGUUAAGUGUCCUUGUUUGCUCAUCUUUAAUGCAUGAUCCUUGCAAGUAACACCGUGUCAACGAGUAUACCUUCUACAUGAAAUAAUAACAGGUUUCAAGAACAAUAGUUGCUGUGACGAAGAUGAAACGAUGCUGAAAUAGGAUAAGAACAAAGAUAGACAGCACUGGAAAGAGAAACAUGAAGACGCAUCGAAUCUGCAAUAUAUUGCAAUUAAAUAAAUCUGCAGAAUUUUAAUUAAAGUCUUAAUUCAAUCGUAAUUUAAAUGGCGUUUAUUAUUUAAUUGUAUACAAUUCCAUUUUCAUUCUCUAACGUCAUAAAAAGGACAGAAAAAGAUGUGUUACAAUAAAAUAAUUGGUUGUUGUAACAAGUAUAUUUAUAUUUUUAAAUACA